GUCUCUUCCAACUCUGUGAUUCUAUGAUUCUAUGAUUCUAUGAUUCUAUGAAUCAUAGAAUUGUAGAGUUGGAAGGGUU